UACGGACUGUGCAAACGUUAUUCGGAAUCACUGGGCUUAAAGAGUCCGUAGGCGGCUUGUUAGGUGAGGUGUGAAAUCCCUCGGCCCAACCGAGGAAUUGCGCUUCAAACCGGCAAGCUAGAGGAGGAUAGAGGUGGGCGGAACUGAUGGUGGAGCGGUGAAAUGCGUUGAUAUCAUCAGGAACACCGGAGGCGAAGGCGGUCCACUGGGCAGUAACUGACGCUGAGGAGCGAAAGCGUGGGGAGCGAACAGG
rnacentral:rRNA from 1 species